rnacentral:pre_miRNA from 1 species
GGCUUUCUGAAUCCGUGCUGAGAUUUCGUCAGACACCAACCCGUUACGGCUGAUCGGUCUUGCAAGAUAAGUGAAGUU